rnacentral:lncRNA from 1 species
CUGGCUCCUUCUAUACAAAUUUAUCUGUCCUGCAAGCUUCUCGAAUGCUUCUCUUGUUGCUGCUACGUCUAAGGGCUCAUCUUCGUUGGGACCAAAUAUGGAUGGAAAAUAAUCAGGAAUAACAAAUCCCAAAACAAGGUUGGCAUCAGUAACUGCUAAAUCCCCUCCUUUCCGAUAACAAACCGGACCUGGGUGAGCACCCACAGAAUCAGGUCCAACCCGGAAAGCACCAAAUUGAAACUUUAACUUGGACCCACCACCUGCAGCAACAGUGUUAAUGUCAAGCUGUGGUGCUUGUAUGAUCGUUCCAGCAAUCUGAGUUUCUAUAACUUGCUCGUAACUUCCGUCAUAGCGACUAACAUCCGUUGAUGUACCACCCAUGUCAAAUCCAAUCAGCAGUUUUUCAGUUUCGAGACCGAAGAGUGUCUGCGAGUGCACGUAUUUCAUGUAAGCCUGAACAGUUCCAAGGCCAUAUUGCUCAAUCAGCUCUUUAAUAAGAGCAAUUCCUCUCUGGUUGGCAGCUAUCUGAGCUUGAAGAUCCGAGAGAUUGUCCUGAAUCCUUCUCGUUCCAGGAAUCUUAGCUGUUGUUUCAUCAGAAGAAGGGAACUGCAGAAGUUUGAUGAUUCCUUCUUCCUGGAAAACUCCUUUUUCAACGACUUUAAACGCUUUUAUAGCAGCGCCUUCCUCCCAAAUCGCCUUUGAGAAAGGAGGCAUGCUUCCUGGAGUUAUGCCUCCAACUUCUGCAUGGUGACCUCUGCUCGCCACAAAGAAGACAAGCUUGCCCUUGUCGAAAACAGGCGUGAUAACGGUUAUAUCAGGCAAAUGGCUACCACCGGCGCAUGGAUGAUUCGUCACCAAAACAUCUCCUUCGUUCAGAUUUUCACCCCAGUGUUUGAGCUGCCAGCGAACAGUACUCGACAUGGCACCGAGAUGAACUGGAACAUGCGGAGCAUUAGCAACUAGACCGCCGUCAGGGCUAAACAAGGCACAGGAAAAAUCCAACCUUUCCUUGAUAUUCGUCGAUAUGGAAGUACGUUGCAGGGUUCUUCCCAUUUGCUCAGCAAUACCCAUGAAUCUGUGAUUAAAGAUGGACAGUUGAACAACAUCUGCAACAUUCUCCGCAAGCUUCACACUGCUCACUGCAGCCUCUAACUCGAUUCUAAUGUUCCCGUACUUUGUUAUUAUAGAUUUACACCGAGGCUCUACAAUAACUGUACUAUUGCCGUUCAUGAUGAUCGCAGGGCCAGGAAUCUCAUGGCCAAAUCCUAAAUUCUCUAACUUGAACAACGGUGUGUCAUGCCAUCCGCCUUCAAAGUAAACCUUGUAGUGACUUUCAACCUUAGGAGCACCGGGUGCAGCUUCAACUGCCCGUGGUUUUAGUAUACUAGUCACUCCAAUUCCCCGAACUCGAACAUCACAUAUAAGAAGACUUCUGUUCUGAAGUUUAAAGCCAUACUCUUGUUCAAAGAGCUUGAGAAACUCAGCAGCAUAAUCAAAUGUUGAUCCUUCUCCGGUUUUCUUACCCUUCACCAUGAUCGCUGUAUCAGUGCCGUCAUAUCUUAUGUUCAAAUAUGUCUCAGUGGAGAUAUUCUCAUCACUAAAGCCCUGCUCCUGAAGUUUCUCUUUCACUUCUCUCAGUAAUAAAGCUUCCCUUCUAAAGACCUCCGAGAGAGACUCAGGGCCAUAAACAGCUGAAUAUGGCUCUUGGGCAUCUUCAAUGACAUCUGCCAAACCCAUUCCGUAAGCACUCAAAAUUCCACAGUAUCUGUGAACAAGAACUUCUUUCAUGCCCAAAGACCUAGCUAUUGCACAAGCAUGUUGCGGUCCAGCGCCUCCAAAGCACGCAAGUGCGUGGUUCUUUGUUUCGUGACCCUUCAUCUCCGUCAACUGCCGUAUGGGACGGCACAUCGUCUCAUUAGCAACACUCACAAACCCCAUUGCUAUUUCCUCCACGGUCAUGUCCUUUGCAGAUGGAUCCUGGCUCCUUCUAUACGAAUUUAUCUGUCCUGCAAGCUUCUCGAAUGCUUCUCUUGUUGCUGCCACGUCUAAGGGCUCAUCUUCGUUGGGACCAAAUAUGGAUGGAAAAUAAUCAGGAAUAACAAAUCCCAAAACAAGGUUGGCAUCGGUAACUGCUAAAUCCCCUCCUUUCCGAUAACAAACCGGACCUGGGUGAGCACCCACAGAGUCAGGUCCAACCCGGAAAGCACCAAAUUGAAACUUUAACUUGGACCCACCACCUGCAGCAACAGUGUUAAUGUCAAGCUGUGGUGCUUGUAUGAUCGUUCCAGCAAUCUGAGUUUCUAUAACUUGCUCGUAACUUCCGUCAUAGCGA